AUCUACCCCAGUGCUUGAUACAUAGGAAGCACUUAAUAAAUGUAAUAAUAUAAUAAUAAUAAUGAAAAUGCCAACCAUUGUAAAGGAAGGCAGGGAAGCUUGGACAAGUAACCAGGGCAAGUGGGGAGGGCACUUGGUGAUGUGGUGAUGGAUGUGGACACGGUGAUAGUUGUCUGCCAAAGGUCAGGAGAUGCUGGAUCAGAUUCAAACAAAGUCUUUGUCAAACCAGGGAUCCCCCUUAUCAGAACAGUACUGACACUAUCUUACUCCUUCUCUAGCCAGGUAGAAGAACUUUUCACUGGGGCUUUUCAAGCUAGGCUUUUCCAUCAGCCAGGCAGUUAGGCUGAUGCGGCGGUUCUCUGGCCAGGCUGGGAGGUGGGAACAAAGCUUAUUAUGUGCUUGAUACAAUUCCCCCUCCCAGCCCCCACCCUGACAAUUUCACAGUUUCAUGUUAAGUUUAUCCCACAUGGAUUUGGGCCCAAGAGUUUUCUCUAGGAAGAUUCUCUUCGGAAAGAGAGACCUAGCAAGCCCUGGAUCACUGCAGAUCUCAUUGCGGGCCUAGCCAUGAGGAAUCGGAAGGAAGAGGAGUGAUGAAGCUUCGUUGGCACGUACGUGAUGCCAGGAAGGUACGGCAAGAGCAGUGUCACCCAGCUUGUUCACGCCAGCCUUUCCCCAUCUCAAUUCUCACCCGGCUUCACUCCACCGGCUGGUCUCAGCUCAUAGGGAGAGAGCCCAGGAGGGGCUGGGGGUGACCAGAUCAACAUCAGCAGGCAACAGUGACGGGGAAGGAGAGAGCUUUCUGGAAUAGAGCACUGCGGGUAGGGGUAGAGGAUGAGCACUUCCCAGGGAGCCCAGAGCUAGGGCUCGACAUUCACCUCCCCCAUCUACCUGUCCCCUGUCCCACCAGGACCCCAGGACCCUGCAAUUCACAAACCCAUUCCCUUCACCUCAGUGACAUCUGACCCCGGACCAAGCCAGAUGCUACUCUGUGUAAGCUCCAAAAAGCUCAACUGGGAUUCGAAUUUGGAGACUGACUGCCAUCCUUGCAUCCUUCUCCCUGUUUCACGGCAUAAGGGAGCCCCAGGAGCCGGGGGAGGAUCUUUUUGCAUCAAGCAUUGAGAACUUCAGAUGGGGCAGCCCACUGUGAGGUGGAUUACUGGUCAGUGUGGAUCCUGCUCCAGAAAAACCAGCUCCUUCUGGCAGUCUUAAAUGCCACCAGGCCCCUGCAGUGCGCCCACCUGCCCCGGUCCCAUCAGUGCUCUGCACCCCACUCCCGGCUGUGAACGAGGUCGGCCACCACCUCGUGACAUGGGGCCACCCCUUCUGACUCCAAGCUCUUGCAGGUCCCUAAAUCCUUUUUUCCCCCUUCUUCCUCUCUUUCCUCUCCCCUCCCCUCUCUGUCUCCUCUUCCCUUCUACCCCUGUGUAAACAGCAUUGUGAAUUUCAUAGGCAACUUUGCUUCCCGAUCUCCAACUCAGAACCUUGUGUGCCAGAUUCUAUUUUAAGCUCCUAAUAAAAAGGUUUUGGAAUGAA